UAAGAACAAAGUAUAAGCAUCAUUCUAACAAUUCCUUGCACUCCUCCUUGUGUUUAUAAACACAAGGAGGAGUGCAAGGAAUUGUUAGAUUGAUGCUUAUACUUUGUUAU
rnacentral:miRNA from 1 species